AGCCUUGAGGUGUUUUACACGCCGAGUUGCAAACUCGGAAUUGAGAUUUAGGAUUUCCUGGGCUU
rnacentral:tRNA from 1 species